rnacentral:rRNA from 2 species
CCGUUCUCUACAUCGCACAUCGAGCGACAGAUGAGAAGCUUGCUUCUCUGAUGUUAGCGGCGGACGGGUGAGUAACACGUGGGUAACCUACCUAUAAGACUGGGAUAACUCCGGGAAACCGGGGCUAAUACCGGAUAAUAUUUUGAACCGCAUGGUUCAAUAGUGAAAGACGGUUUCGGCUGUCACUUAUAGAUGGACCCGCGCCGUAUUAGCUAGUUGGUAAGGUAACGGCUUACCAAGGCGACGAUACGUAGCCGACCUGAGAGGGUGAUCGGCCACACUGGAACUGAGACACGGUCCAGACUCCUACGGGAGGCAGCAGUAGGGAAUCUUCCGCAAUGGGCGAAAGCCUGACGGAGCAACGCCGCGUGAGUGAUGAAGGUCUUCGGAUCGUAAAACUCUGUUGUUAGGGAAGAACAAAUUUGUUAGUAACUGAACAAGUCUUGACGGUACCUAACCAGAAAGCCACGGCUAACUACGUGCCAGCAGCCGCGGUAAUACGUAGGUGGCAAGCGUUAUCCGGAAUUAUUGGGCGUAAAGCGCGCGUAGGCGGUUUCUUAAGUCUGAUGUGAAAGCCCACGGCUCAACCGUGGAGGGUCAUUGGAAACUGGGAAACUUGAGUGCAGAAGAGGAGAGUGGAAUUCCAUGUGUAGCGGUGAAAUGCGCAGAGAUAUGGAGGAACACCAGUGGCGAAGGCAGCUCUCUGGUCUGUAACUGACGCUGAUGUGCGAAAGCGUGGGGAUCAAACAGGAUUAGAUACCCUGGUAGUCCACGCCGUAUACGAUGAGUGCUAAGUGUUAGGGGGUUUCCGCCCACUUCGUGAUGCAGGCUAACGCAUUAAGUACUCCGCCCUGCGGAGUGACGACCGCAAUGUUGA